GCCCCUUUAGCUCAAUUGGCAGAGCAGAGUCCUUUUAAGUCUUGGGUUGUGGGUUCGAGUCCCACAGGGGGCACAA
rnacentral:tRNA from 17 species